UACGGAGGAUGCGAGCGUUGUCCGGAUUUAUUGGGUUUAAAGGGUGCGUAGGCGGAUCGUUAAGUCAGUGGUCAAAUUGAGGGGCUCAACCCCUUCCCGCCAUUGAAACUGGCGAUCUUGAGUGGAAGAGAAGUAUGCGGAAUUCCUAGUGUAGCGGUGAAAUGCGUAGAUAUUAGGAAGAACACCAGUGGCGAAGGCGGCUUUCUGGACUGAAACUGACGCUGAGGCACGAAAGCGUGGGGAGCGAACAGG
rnacentral:rRNA from 1 species